rnacentral:rRNA from 1 species
UACGUAGGGUGCAAGCGUUGUCCGGAAUUAUUGGGCGUAAAGAGCUCGUAGGCGGUUUGUCGCGUCUGCUGUGAAAACUCGGGGCUUAACCCUGGGCCUGCAGUGGGUACGGGCAGACUAGAGUGCGGUAGGGGAGACUGGAAUUCCUGGUGUAGCGGUGAAAUGCGCAGAUAUCAGGAGGAACACCGGUGGCGAAGGCGGGUCUCUGGGCCGGUAACUGACGCUGAGGAGCGAAAGCGUGGGGAGCGAACAGG